UUGUUUGCAGAUGUAGCAUCAUCAAGAUUCACAUGCAAAGUAUGUAUAUAUAUGCAUAUGAUAUAUAUUGGUUUUGGCCUGGGAAUCCUGAUGAUGCUGCAUUCGCAAUGAA
rnacentral:pre_miRNA from 1 species